rnacentral:rRNA from 1 species
UACGGGGGGAGCAAGCGUUGUUCGGAUUUACUGGGCGUAAAGGGCGCGUAGGCGGCCAGCACAAGUCAGUUGUGAAAUCUCCAAGCUUAACUCGGAAAGGUCAACUGAUACUGUGCGGCUAGAGUGCGGAAGGGGCAACUGGAAUUCUUGGUGUAGCGGUGAAAUGCGUAGAUAUCAAGAGGAACACCUGCGGCGAAGGCGGGUUGCUGGGCCGACACUGACGCUGAGGCGCGAAAGCUAGGGGAGCGAACGGG